rnacentral:lncRNA from 1 species
GAGAGGGCUGGACAGUCGGGAUGAAUUCCCACAGGAAGCAGGGAGGCUGCCCUUCAGCCAUGAGAGAGCCUGACAAAAUAAGAGUGUGGGCUAGGAAGAGGGUGUUCCAGGGAGCAGACAAGCUUAACUAAGCCCUGGAGACAGAAGGGUGCCCUACAGGGCUGGCGGGGGCGGGAGGGGGGAGCUACUGGUGUAAGGCGCCAGGCCUAGCAGGGGAGGGGACAGCUCCAGCGGACCUGACUUAACUGGGGCGAUGAAUGCAGCGGAGCCUAACGGCCCCUUCUAGGGAGACGAUAAUUAUUCAGAUCAGCCUGGUGAUUUACUCGGCAAUCAGAGCCGCUCGAUGCGGUGGCCGCGGAGCCGAGACAGACGAACAUCGCCAAGGAGGAUGAGACCGGGGGCUCAGUCCCCUCCCUCCCCCUCGCCCGCCCGGCCUUUGUUCUCUUCGAGGUCUGCACCCGCGCUGCUGGCCCACAGUGGAUGCGCCCAGCCGCACGGACACAGCAGCGACCUCGGGGGCUGGAGAGCAAGUGUACACAGGCGUGUGCCUCGGGGAGGGACUAUGGGGGCACGUGCUGUGUUUGCAUGCUUGUAUGUAUAAGGGGAAGGCGAUGGAGUAUACCAGUAGAAGCACCGCUGUCAGGUGUGCAAUCGGGAUGUGUACACCUGUUUGCCUACCAGGGCCUGGGCACAGCUGUCACUGCUGGCUUGUUUAAAUGUGUGAUAGACAGGUUGCCAAAUGGAUGUAUUUUAUGCUCAUAGAAGGCAAGAGAUGACGGUUGACGCUCCUAUGAUGGCAACCGUCUGACAGAGUCAUGGAUGAGGCAAGGCAAAGUUCUAGCUUAUUUUCUCCUACUGCUUGUGCUCGAACAAGCAGGCCCCAGGGGUGAUUAGCUCAGAGCUUGGGUCAGCAGUGGGGCCCAGAGGUCACGUGACAGGGGUGAGGACGUGUUCAAAGACGGGCGUGCACACUUGUUCAAAGGCCCCUGUGCAUUUGUGUCCGCAGACCUUCGCAUCCUCCUGCCUGCGGGCGGGCGCGGUGACGGUGACCUCAUUACCGCCUCCGCAAGGCCCCUUGAAAUCCCUGCGCCUCCGCAUUUGGCUGCUCUAAAGUGAUGGGAACGGCCUGCGCUUCCUGAUCAAUCGCUUAAAAUUCAGGGUCGGCUCGCUCGCGUUAGAGGGCUGCCUGCCAGCCCCGCGCAGCGCGCUCUGCCGCCUUCCCCACCCCCUUGCUUUGGGAUGGUGGUGGGGAGUCGCGAUGCCGUCGUAUUGGAAAACAUCCCCGCGCUGGCUGGGGGGCCCGGUGGGGCCAGCGCUGGAAGCCGUUCCACUCGAGCAGAUGGCUGUGAAACUUUGGCGGCGAGAUAAAUUGGGUCUGACGGCGUGAGGCCGGCUCACAGAUGGGCGGGAUUCUCACGCCGGCCCCCACGUCCGGCCCGGCUGCGGGCAGGGGCCGGCGCCGCACAUAGCCCCCCCCCCCCACACACACACCUUGGGUACCGAUCCGGCCAACUGUGGGCUCCCGGGGGCACCCACCCAUCCUCCUGGGGCCUCCCUUGACCGAGGGCGCCCUCCAUCACCUUCCUUCCCGCCCCAGAGCUCCUGAGAGACGAG